UACGUAGGCAGCGAGCGUUGUUCGGAAUUACUGGGCGUAAAGAGUGUGUAGGCGGUGCUCUAAGUUCGGUGUGAAAUCUCCUGGCUUAACUGGGAGGGUGCGCCGGAAACUGCGAGGCUUGAGUACCGGAGAGGUUGGUGGAAUUCUCGGUGUAGAGGUGAAAUUCGUAGAUAUCGAGAGGAACACCGGUGGCGAAGGCGGCCAACUGGACGAGUACUGACGCUGAGACACGAAAGCGUGGGGAGCAAACAGG
rnacentral:rRNA from 1 species